UCAGCUGAAGGCAGGAGCUGGGAAAAAUUCCUAACCCGUCAAAGCACCUUCCUGAAGAUAUUUCUCCCUAAGGAUGCAGAGGAAAUCACAGCUUUCAGAUUGCAUUUGUCCAAUUUGUUAGACAAAACUAACAUCAGCUUUUACGGAGGAAAAGAUGCCAACCUACAAUUCUUUCAAUGUAAAGGUGCUUCUGUAGCUGCAGAAAAAUGCUGACAUUGCUCCUUGAUUGCAAAAGGAGCAUGUGACACAUAAUUAAUCCACAUAUGGACAAGAAUGUCUUCCAAGACUGGAAAUGGAAAACUAAUCAAGAGCACAUAUGACACACUGGAUCCAACACACAUGGUUCACUAGGACUUCUUGGCUGCCUCACAUCUGGCUGGCUCAGAGCGCAGGCAGAACGGCACAUGACUGCCUGCCUUCUUUCAUGGAGACAUCUGUUGAACUGAAGCCUUCAGUUUCAUCAGCUUAGGACAUAUCUCACAGAAGAAAAUCUCCUCUGGCAAUUGACUUGAAAACUGCACACCAAGACCUUAUUUUGAAGGGCCAAACUGACUACUGCUACAGAUGCCAAAUUCUCAUUGGCUUUAGCAGAGGAUCUACUUCAGAAAGGAUGGAGGUGUUGUGGUUUAUAUCACUGUGUUGGCUACUGGAAGCAGCUGCGCUUUCCAGUCACAUGGAGAAUUAUUGAGGUCUCAAACAGGAUGCUGAGGUUCCCAAGGUUGAGCACCUCUGGAAAGGUUUAGAUUUGGUUUCCCAGGAACUUAUAUCUUUCCUCAAAAUGUAGAUGAACAUGAAGACAAACUAAUUCUUCAUUGCUGGAUGCCAUAUGUUAUAUAAAGAUUUACAGAGCUGUUUGUAGCAGGUGCUUUG